rnacentral:tRNA from 1 species
UGUUCAGUAGCUCAGCGGUAGAGCAGGUGACUGUUAAUCACUUGGUCGCAGG